UAAAUAUAUUUAAAGAAACGACUAUAUUUUCUGAAAUAAAGUACCUAUUCUAAUUUAAACCAUAAUUUGUAUUCACAGUGUAGUUAUUAAUUUCGUUUUUUUUUUUUUUUUUAGAAAUUUGCGUAAGCUAAAAUAAAUGACACACUGAUGAUUAUUGUCUUUUGAACAUAUACACGACUAUAACUUAAAUAUUAUAUUUUUUUUACUAUUUGGUCAAUUAAUUCUUUUCCGUAUGUGCGGCAAUAAAAUAAAGGAUUAUACAAAUAUACAACAUGCCUAUGCAAAGAUUUCGGUAAUAAAAUGUUUCUUACUCCAGUUUUCAAGUGAAUAUUUGAAAGAAAAAAAAAACUAUUCCUGGUUUAUUUACAAUUUAUCCAAAAAUUCAAAUUGAGAGUUUGGGGAAUAUCUCAGUUAUUUCAUGGGAAGAAGAAAAAGAGUGGUUUAUACAUCGGUGCCGUUUAGACUUUUAAAAAUAAAUGUUUAAAAUUAUUAUAAAUUAUAAAUUUUAUAGUUCAUUUUUUUUAAUAUUUUGAAACUUAUUCAGGAUACUUAAUGCAGUUAUCAUAUACAUUACUUUCACAUACCCUUUUCAGGUUUAUACAAAAAUGAUUUCAGCCCAGUUGCACAAUGAAAUUAAAGUUAUUUUUAAGUUUAAAGCGUUUUUUUUUACAGAGAAAUACCUAGCAAUAAAUUAAGAGCCCUUUAAAUGUAAAGUACUUUUAGCUCUGAUUAUGACUAUAGUUAUUUUCAUGUAAGUCAAUCAUGCCAUCCCUAGAAUUUGCGAGAUGGUCAGUUAAAAAUAAGUACAGUUGAUGACAGCUUUAUCAGUUCAAUCCCAACAUGUAAGACAAUGUAACUUUGAACUUCAAAUAAUCCCUAAUAUGAAAUCUGCUAGUAUCAAAUUUGAAAAAUGUAUUUAAGAUGUUUAUUUCUAAACAUAUAAUAUUAAUGACGUUUUUCUGGGUUUGGACCAUGUCCAUCUUCAGGAAAUAACGGACAAGAAUAAAAAGUGCGGGAGAGAAGAGGACAAUACUGAUGGUGAAUCUUUUUUGGCAUCGUUCUUCUUGUUUUUUAUUUGCUGAAGAUGCAUCUAAUGAAAAUGAGCGAAUAUUGAAACCCUUUUCAAAAUUGACGUGGUUCAAACCCCGAAAACUCUAGUUGCGAAAACUUUCGGUUCUAUAACGUUAUAAUUAUGUGGUCAUAUUUUUUUUUAUUUUUUAAAAUUGAAUUUGAAAUUUUAAUUGAUUACAAUUUAAUAACAUUUUAGUUAAGGCAUUAUUGAAAAAACAAGUGUUCGUUACAUUGUUUUGGCUGUUUUUUCAGUCGAAUUAAUAAUUGCACGUUUUUUUAUUAACUAACAUGUACUUCUGUUUAUUUUGCUCACAUAAUAUAUUUUUAACUAUUUAAUUAUUCAGUAUUUUAUGUCCGGUUGUUUCGACAAUAUUAUAAAUAUUUGGUUUUAUCAUUAACUUAGCUUAAAUAACACACUAUAAGAAAAGACAAAGUUCACUAUAUUUGGUUGUUUCAAAGCUAAGUUAAAGCAGUUAUAUUUAUAAACACCUAAAAAGGGAGCCGCUUUUUUCCAAACACUUCUAUUACAUAUACGUAUUCAUUUUAAAGUAAUUUUAUUGCCGAAUAGACUUCGUUAUACCAAUGUGCAAAAGCAUUGAUUUUGGUUGUUUGGUUGGUUGAUUAGUUUGUUUUAACAAUAAUUAAAUUAAAUAUUGCUGGUUCCAGCAGUAUGAUUUUCAUAGCAUUAAGAUGUUUACAUUUUUAAAUAGUAGUAAUAAGUUUAUGCAUUGUGUAUAAAACGUGUCACGAAAAUUUAAGCACGAGAACUUUCAAGUUGAUAGUAAUAGAGUUAUAAAUUAUACUUUGAAAUAUAUUGGCCUGUAAAAAUUUAAGUCUUUGUACUAGGAGUAAUAAAUUUUAAACUCGAGUUAAGAAAAUUGCAACCGAAUUUUAGUAAAAUAAAUUUGACAAACCGUGUGUAUUCACAAAUUGGCAAAACUCAUCUAAAAGGUGUUAGUAUUUCUUACGGGCUUUAUAUGUGCUGUCAACUACACAAAAUAGCGAAUAUUUUUUUUUGUUGCUCUCUUGGGUAUCGAUCAGCAAAAUCUUUAAUUACGCUGAUUGCCGUUGGCCUCUAAUUUAUAAACGUGUUUUCUUUAAAUAAACGGUUUUGCUUAAUUAUUUCAAAUUUAAAUGGAAAACUUAUAUUUUUAACUGCAAUGUCCACAACAACGUUUGCAGUUCUGCUUCAAUUAAGGACUGACAGUGAUCACCAAGGCACGGAAUAAAAUCUCACAGCUCGAUCCAGUGCUGCUGCGUCGAUACUUUGAUUACAAAUGUAUUUUCUUUUUGGACUAUAUCAACGUAAUAUGGGACAAAAUACGAUAAAGGGCAAAAUCACUGAAAAGAAAAAAAUAAAAACUAACAUGUUUUAGGUGUAAUUUUUUGUUAAUAGAUUAACACUACAGGAUGUUAAAAAGCAAUUUAUAAUAAUGUCCGCGAAAAUAUUUUAAUAGGCAGCAAAUGAAGGACUAGAUUUUUUUUCUAAGCGAGGAACAGUUUUAAUUAUAAAAUAAUAAUAAAUUUUAAUACGUUAAUAACAUUUAUUUGGCCUUUGUUGAAAGGAAAGUGGUUACAAAUACAAUUAAAUGAGCAUUCAAAAUAACUUAAUUCUCUACAAAUAUGUUUUUUGGCUUCAAUACUACACGUAAUUUGGUGAAUCGACGAAAUGCCUGGAAUGUUGAAAAUAUCUCUGUAACGCUUAGUUCUUAAUUUUUCCUGCUGUUUUACUCGCAUCUUUUCAUUUUUGUUCAUGUCAUUUAUUUUCUUUCGAUUUUUUGGAUUGUACUCCGUGUCUUUCAUUCUUUUUAAAUUUCCAUCUUUUUCCGACAUUCUUACACGUUUUUUUUUUCUUUUCACGUUUAUAUUCUCGUUUUCAGCUGCAGUUUUCUUCGUUUUCUUAAACAUAAAAUAAUAUGGCCGUUAGCCACUAUAGAUAAGAAUUUAUCGGUAAAAUUAAAAAUAAGGGGACCGGCGUUACAGGGGACCGUCGUUACAAAAUACGUUUAAUAUAUAUAUUUUGUAAUUCGCAAUAAUCUGAAAUUUAGCACAUAACCAUUUAAUCAAAUUGUUUUCAAUGCUUUAUUGGACAAACAUAAUACUUACGCUAUAAAAUUGAAAAUACCGUUUAUAUCAGCGGGGACCGUCGUUACUUUAGAAAACAUAUUUUUUCAAAUUACGAAUAAAUGAUGUAAAUUAAACGUGAAAACUACAACAACAGACAACUUAACUGUUUGGCCAUUUUUUUACUCACUUUGUCAACUUGUCAGAAGCAGUCACAGCUUCUUCAGUUAAAAGCAAUGAUAACAAUAUCCAUAAAUGCUUACCAAAUCUUAAAUGAUGCAUUUGUAGGUACACAUUUAUUUAUUUUUUUUUGUACAACAAUAAAGCAAUUAAAAGACUUUUAAUUAUGUUUAAAUAAAUGUUCACGGUAUUGAGUUUACAAAAAUAAAUUAUACGUAAAUAACAUGAAUGCAGCAGUUGCCCACAAUACGAAGCUUUUUGUAAAUAUCGCCUGGGGACAGGGGACCGGCGUUACAUUUUUUAAAAGUUUUAUGGAAAACUGCAACUGUGUACCAUUUAAUAUUAGUGAACUGUGUAAUAUCUAAUAAUUAUAAAGUCAUUGUUUGUGAUAAAUUCAAUAUUUAAGAAAAAAUUAAAAGAAAACACAGAUAAAUGUGGUAGGAACACGUUUUUGCCCAUUAUCGUAUUUUGUCCCAUAUAACAUUUCAAGAUCACAAAUGUGAGGUCCUAUAUUAUUAUUGACCGUAAACACUCCUAAUGCGAGGCACUAGCUACGGCCUUGCGGACCAGAUCAAAGCGUCCCCACUAGUCGCCGUAAAACACACCUUACUUCAAAUGGGGGACUGCAGCAUUGAGAUUUAAUUCCACACACUGGUGAUCACUGUAUUUCUCAAACUCAAAUUGAUCCUAGCAAUGAGAUGGCAUUCUUGAUAACACAGAUAAUCUGGUGCAUUUUAAAUCAAUUGUAAGUAUCAAAACAAUGAUGAAAGUUAUGAAUGCUGAAUAAGAUUUCGCUUGAAAACAAUUCAUACUUUAUUUUUUGCUUUGGUUUAUACUUUAUUUGCCCGACUCAAGUAAUCCAGUAUAGCAUUCGAGAUUCUAAUUCUACGGCGUGGAACUCGAAUUUAAAUACUCUGGUUUAGCAUUUGCAUCACUAAAAACUCCAUACUCAUACUGAUAUCUUUUUGGGAAUUUGUAUUCCCUACCAUAGAAGAUAGUAGUUUCUACAUCACAAUAAUGAUGGAUAUAAAAAAUUGAACUUCAAAAAAGACAGUAACAACAUUUUUGUCAGUAUUUUUAAAUUUAGGUAGCUGUAUAUUAGUAAUUUUGUUGUAAUUAGUACGAUCCUUGGGUGGUACUUCUGCUUUACCAACCGCUAAAAGGCGAACGCUUUAAAAUCAUAUACUUGAAGGUUAACUUGUUUUAAUCUGCUGUCAAUAUUGUAGAUCACAGUAUCGAAGCUACUGCAUACUUCAUCUGUAUACGCUUUAUGUUUAUAUGCAUACAGAAUCGACAAACAUUAAACCGACUGCAACGCCACCUAUGUCCUACUUUGUUAAUAUUAUUUAUUAGUGUAAUCUAAUUCUUGGCCUACAAAUCAAAAGUAGAAGCUUUAGUUUUAAAGUAAAGAGGUCAAUCACAUUUUUAUAAACCAAUGCUCGUUUAUGAUGAGAUAUUACCUACAGUUGUUUGGUAACAUUUUGGAACGUGUUAUCGUGUUUUUCUGGAAAAGUUAGAACUUUUAUUUUUGUUUUUUGAUUUUGUCGUGAUCUUUGCACAAUACGUGCGAUAUAGAGAAAUCUGUUGGACAGCCUCAUUUUUCUGAGAUAUGGUCACGGUGUAUAAUAAGUUAGGUGUUACGACGAAGCGUAUUCACCGUGCAUCGACUUGACGCCGGUUUAGUCACGAUGAGCGCUCGAGAGAGACAGACAGCGGCGGCCUGUAACCUCUCACUUAGAUCUGUUUAGCAGCGUUUGGCGGGCUUUUUCCCUCUCUCGGUGUGACAGAUUUUGCUAGGUUUUCUCUGCGAUUUCUUACUUGUUUUUUGAUUUAUCAAUAAAAAUGGGUAGAAAAUGUGUUGUGCCUAAUUGUUCUAGCGGAUACAAUGGUAAUCCCGAAAAAGUGUCGGUGUUUCGGGUACCUAAAGACAGAUUACUGGAAUGGCACUUUUAUUGCAGUAGUGAACUGCUGCUUUUGAACAACACUUUGCACUAAAAAAUACUGGUCGUCGCUAUAGUAAUAGUCGGCAUUUUAUGUUGAAUUUUAUUUUUACUUAAAACAAUUACUCCCUUUUUAUCGGUUAUGUGUUAUGUUUUAACAUUCAAGAAACAGAAUUUAUGUUUAUUUUCAGAGGGUUUUUGAAUGCGAUAUGUAUUUUUUCUUUAUUCCACAUAAACUAUAUUUUUUGCAGAGAUUUUUCGGCACAAUUCGACAAGCAGGUUGUGCCAAUGGACAUCCUUAUCUAUAACUCUUUGCAGCUAUACCGAAUGUUAUCGGUUUAUAAAUUAUUAAAACCUCCGAAAUUUGGUAAUUGCACACAGAUGCAGGACAAUAGUAAUGCAAAUCAUUCGUUAUCAUUUAAUGACUCCAAAAAUAUUUUUGAAACAAAUACCAGAAUGCGGGAAAAAUCAUGUUGAGAAAAUAAAAAGGAAAAUUGAAUAUAUUUUAGAUACAGAUUCACCGAUUAACGAAAUAGACGAACAACUAUUUGAAGAUGUCACUACAACUAAAAUUGUUGACAACAUCAUUUAUUACUUAGCUGGAUUUGUCGCAAAAAAAAUUGUACAAUACUUCAAAAUGUAAUAUUUGCCGUGAACAGUUAUAUAACAAAGAAGAUCCAUGUUCUAGUACAUCUGAAUUUACUAGUACAAAACCCAGGGGGUGGUUAAACCAUCCAGAUUUGUUAAUGUUUAAUAUGUUCCGAUGGGUGGAAGGGAUACUUAUGAAAUAUAUCGAUUUUGUGGAUGUAUUCGAUGCAACAAUUGAAGAGCUAUUCGCAACAAAAAUUUUAUGACUAUUUACUUUAUUUUUUCUUGUGAAGAGCAUAGAAUGGAAAUACUUUCAAAGGCAAUAUAUUUUUACACAAUUAUGCGAAUUAAACAAUUUUAUAAACAGGAACAAGAGAAAACAACCAAGGCAUGUGCAGAAAAAAGAAAAGAGUCUCGAUUACAGACUACGUAAUAAUGGUAAAUUUUUAUUUCUCAAACAGUAAAGCAGAUAAUGGUUAAUGGAUAUUUUUUGGUUGUCUUGUGAAACGAACAGAAGUGAGUGAAUCUAAUAUAAUCUGUGAAGGCGAAAAGAACUAUCUUUAACAACGAGUUCACAUUCAUCUUUUUAAAUAAAUUAUUAUUUUAAAAAUGUUUAAAGUUUUUAUUUUAAUACAAUGGAUAAUUAAUUUUGAUGAUUUUUGGACCUAAAUGGCUUUAAUUCCGACAAAUACUUCUCCCGUCUCUUUCCCGUCAGUGCGAUUAAAUGACGGCCGCCCUCUUCUGUUUCUCUCGCUCCAAAUGUGUGACUAGUUGGGGACACGUUUCACGCGCUCGUCGGAACACCUAACUUAUUAUACACCGUGGAUAUGGUUAAAUAUUCAGUAUAUGGAACAAUGAUUGUAAUUGUUUUAGAUGUGUAUUUACUGCGUAAAUCAGGGGGUAUACUAGACAAUGAUCUCUGUUCCAGUCUUUUUUUUCGAUGUUUUUUAUUACAAUUGUGUUUCUAUAGAAUUAUUUAUUCACUAAUUUUGGUAAUCAAGUGGACUAGCUAUAGCGAAAUUGUUGCGUUCACGCUUUCAGGGGGAACUCCUAAUUUGUACUAAAAAUUUAAUUAAUUAUUCUAUAUGAAAAGCAUCUUACACCCAUUUCAGCAAACAGGUAACAUACUGGACAUGAAAAUGGAUUGUGUAACUAACUUAAAAUCGAAAUACUUUUUUUUCCCCUGUUAAUAUUUCAGUAUUAUUUAAUUAUACAAAAACACAAAUCGACACUGCUUAAUCAUAUAAUUGAUAAUUAAUUUGUAAUCUUCAUUAGUUCUGUUAGUUUAUAUAUGUAUAUUAUUCCAGUAAAAAUGUAAAAUGUAUUAAAUGUCCACUUUACUAUUCACUGAAUGUGUGUACGAAUUACAUUUAUAGUUAUAGUGGGUGAAUGCAUUUAGUUAAUUAACACAUUUAUUUAAGAUACAUUAGAGAUACAAUACAAGCGAAGAAACAAAUCGUAUACUGAUGUAACAUUUUAAUUACUUCAUAAUUAAAGAAUUGUAUGUUUCUCUUCCAUGCUGAAACAGCAUAACACAAAGUAACACAUUCCACACGGCUGAAAAUAUGUCUUAAAAAUGCACAAAAGACAAUUCUAUGCGGGUUUUGUUCAUUACUUUUCCUAACUCCAUCGAGGAACGCUUUUCUUAAGAAUUGAUUCUAAUCAAAUUAAUAAAACAACUUUAUAUUUUUUUAUUUAAACUUUUAUGAAUAAUUGUUUGCCUUUUUAAUUUUCCGCUUGUCGUAGCUUCACUAAAGAUUUUUAGUUCAGAUAUGAUGAGAUGCACUUCAUAACAGUAAAUUUUGGUUUUACAUGUUGGAAUCUUACAUCACCUAGAAAUGAUUAAUAUAACGUCCUUGGCCAAGAACUUAUAAAUCUCCACAUAUGGUAUUUCAUAUCACGUAAGUUUACAAGGCGUUAUUUUAAAAACUCUAUUUUUUUAAACGUUGUGAAAUUUUAAAUUUUGACACCGCCUUGUAUAUCACUGUAGGGUGUGCAAUUUGUUCUACUAGUUACUGAUGUAAUGGUAGUAAAUUUUAGGGGUUCGCAGAAAAAUGUAUUGCUGAUGUAUUGUAAACACACUGAUUGUUAUUAUCUUUUUCCAUUAUCAUUAAUAUAUAUCGUUAUCAAAGUGACUGUCCUGUACGUGGAAGUGUUCUGUAUGAAGUUGAUUCAUUAAGUUAACUUCAUUACAGUUGUUUCGUCGAAUUUGUGGUGGGUUGUUGUCAUAUUUGUUAAUCUAUAGUAAUCGUUCCUAGUCCACAGCUUUAGUAUUAUGAUUUAGAAUACCACUAUUAAUUGUAACCGGCAUUUAUUGUUUUCAAAUAAAAAAUAACGUGUUGUUCUGCCUUCAUCGCAAAAAAUUUUCUUUAUAUAUUAUUUCCACGAGUUUAAUAUUGGCAACCUCAUAAAGUCGUAAGGUGAAUAAAAUCUGGACAUGUGAAAAUUGGUCUAAAAGUCUUAGGUGCAUUCAGUAGAAAAGAUGCGUUAGGUACAUAAAUGUAAAAUCAUAACUGCCAAUUUCCAUAAAAAACGAAAUUAAAGAAAAAAGUGAAAAGUUAAUAUUAAAUUACGUUAUCUGAAAUUUGCUGUAACUUGUUACUAGAAUUGUUAAUAAAUCCUUCUAAAGAAUGAGUGGGAAUAAAAAAUUUUCCGACACACACAUGCAUAAGAAAUAAAUGAGGCUAUUUUCUUUUUAAGGAGUUUGUUCAUUUCAUUCUCUAUGUCGUUAUAUGUUUUAAUUGUUACGUCCUUUGUUAUAGAAACUUACAAUUUUGUUUUAAAUCGAAAAACUGAAGAGACUUUACGUUAUUUCGUAGUUAUUGCUGCAAAGAAAACAAUUUGAUUACAAAUACGAAAACUUGUAAGUUUCUACGUAUUAACUACUUUGUGUAUUAUUUUUAUUGUAGGUUGUGAUAGAUAAAAAGGCUAAAUAUAUGUAUAUUUAAUUAA